rnacentral:rRNA from 1 species
UACCAGCACCCCGAGUGGUCGGGACGUUUAUUGGGCCUAAAGCAUCCGUAGCCGGUCGUACAAGUCUUCCGUUAAAUCCAACUGCCUUAACAGGUGGGCUGCGGAAGAUACUAUAGAGCUAGGAGGCGGGAGAGGCAAGCGGUACUCGAUGGGUAGGGGGUAAAAUCCGUUGAUCCAUUGAAGACCACCAGUGGCGAAGGCGGCUGCCAGAACGCGCUCGACGGUGAGGGGAUGAAAGCUGGGGGAGCAAACCGGG